rnacentral:tRNA from 1 species
GGUAAAUAUAGUUUAAUUGGUAAAACUCUGGAUUGUGGCUCCAGAUGAUGAAAGUUCGAAUCUUUCUGUUUACCU